GACGUAGGGGCGAGCGUUGUCCGGAGUUACUGGGCGUAAAGGGCGCGCAGGCGGUGGAGCAAGUUUGGAGUGACAGUGCUCGGCUUCAACCGAGGCAAGGACUCUGAAAACUGCGCCACUUGAGGAGCCAGAGAGGGACAUAGAAAUUCCGGGUGGGAGUGGUGGAAAUAGCGUAGAUAUCCGGAGGAAUACCAAAGGCGAAAGGCAGUGUCCUGGCUGGUAACUGACGCUCAGGCGCGAAAAGCUAGGGGAGCGAACGAGG
rnacentral:rRNA from 1 species